rnacentral:rRNA from 1 species
GACGAACGCUGGCGGCGUGCCCAACACAUGCAAGUCGAACGGGGUAGAGAGCUUCGGUUUUCUGCUUAGUGGCGAACGGGUGAGUAACGCGUGAGAAACCUGCCUUUCAGUGGGGGGCAACAGUUGGAAACGACUGCUAAUACCGCAUAAUGUUAUUUGAGGGCAUCCUCGAAUAACCAAAGAUUUAUUGCUGAAAGAUGGUCUCGCGUCUGAUUAGCUAGAUGGCGGGGUAACGGCCCACCAUGGCGACGAUCAGUAGCCGGUCUGAGAGGAUGAACGGCCACAUUGGGACUGAGAUACGGCCCAGACUCCUACGGGAGGCAGCAGUGGGGAAUAUUGGGCAAUGGGGGAAACCCUGACCCAGCAACGCCGCGUGAAGGAAGAAGGCCUUCGGGUUGUAAACUUCUUUUACCAGGGACGAACAAAUGACGGUACCUGGAGAAAAAGCAACGGCUAACUACGUGCCAGCAGCCGCGGUAAAAC